UUUCUGGAGAUUCCUUCUCUUGGUGAAGCUUUCCCCUGUGAACCUGGAAUCUUCUGAUAGGAAGUCAAGCAACCAGGGAUGACUUCACACCGGGCUUAUGACAGCUAUUACUCAGAAGUAGUGUUUCUGCAGCCUACCAACCUUUUCACUCAUUGCGGAAUUCCUCUGAGAAGUUGCAUGGGAAGUGUUAUGGCGGAACAUGGACGAGCUGAAGCUUUAUAAAUUCUGUGAUAAACCAUCACUGCUGAAAUCAGUGUAUAAAAUGAUCAUGUAAUGGGACUGGAAUUUCAACUUCUGCUUCUUGGGCCCUUGGGUUUUAACUUUCAUCUCUUAUACAUGGGGGGAAAAAAUCUUCUGUGAACCACCAGAAAGAUCUUCCUUUUUUUUUUUUUUUGUUUGAGCACACAAUGAAAAUCUGACACUCCCAACCCAACUGUUUUCAAUUGAGGAAAAAAACGAUAUAGAGUGUAUUUCAAGUUUAUGACCACAAAACCUUAUUUCUUUAAGCCAUAUCUGUUAGUUGGGUUAUGUUUUGUAAUUGUAGCUCUUUGCUGACAGAUAACAGACCCUGAUAAAUACAUACGGGAAGAGUUAACCUGCAAAAAAAAAAAAAGAAAAAAUUUCCCAGACAGUUGUCAGUAACACUGAAGGGGGUAAAAAAAAUAACCACAGACUGUGGCAAAACUGUCUGAAUUGCCUAAUACUAUUGUUCUAAAAUGAAAUAAUUGUCUUCAUUGUUUGUUUUCUUUCAGCACCGGUAGGAAUAUUAUUUUAUAAUGCAGCACCUGUUCUGCAUAAAAGUAAUUUGAAAUUGAUAACAUUGCAUUGCACUCCUGCCCACUGAAAUCUGUGCUGAGGGUCCAGGGGGUUUCUACUCCUUUUAAACGACUGCUUGGAGCUCUAAAGCCAUAUGCCUUUAGCAUUGCAUGACUAGCUUCUUUGAACAGUCUGGUACAAUAGAAAAUUGAGAUGAUCAUUUAGACAAGACAUAAUUAAGUGAACAGAACUAAUGAAACACUGCAGGAGUAUUAUCAAAUAUGAAAUUGUAAAUGCCCCCCAACGGACACUCUCUCGAUGUGCGACUACCCAAAAGUGCUGGCCCCAUCUUUGAGAACAUGCGUUCACUUAUUCUUCUUUGGAUAAUGGGACAUCCAUUAUGCUUUUCCAUAUUUCAUUACCAUACAUUUCAAGCUCAGAGUUGUUCACUGUGGAAUCAAAAGUGGAGUCAUUUUAGUACAGACAUGAUUUGUUCAGUAACUGGAAAUCUACUCUAUUACAGACUAUUGUAAAUGCUUUAUUUCUGAGGAUGUAGCCAUGCUCCUUUUGUUCAUGUCAUUUUGCAGAACAAAAUUAUUGUGCAUUGUGAGUAGCUGACAUUUUGUGGAAAAGGACCACUUGUAAGUAGGCAUCUUGCCUGUGCUUCUAACAGAAAUU
ensembl:lncRNA